GACGAACGCUGGCGGCGUGCUUAACACAUGCAAGUCGAACGGAAAGGCCCUGCUUUCGUGGGCUGCCCGAGUGGCGAACGGGUGAGUAACACGUGUGUAACCUGCUCUUGACUUUGGGAUAACUUCAGGAAACUGGGGUUAAUAUCGGAUAGCAGCUCCUGUUGCGUGGUGGGGGUGGGAAAGUUUCGGCGGUUGGGGUUGGACUCGCGGCUUAUCAGCUUGUUGGUGGGGUAGUGGCUUACCCAGGCUUUGACGGGUCGCCGGCCUGAGAGGGUGACCGGCCACAUUGGGACUGAGAUACGGCCCAGACUCGUACGUGAGGCAGCAGUGGGGAAUAUUGCACAAUGGGCGGGAGCCUGAUGCAGAAGCGCCGCGUGCGGGAUGACGGCCUGCUGGUUAUAAACCGCUUUAGCCUGUGACGAAGCGCGAGUGACGGUAAUGGGUAAAGAAGCACCGGCUAACUACGUG
rnacentral:rRNA from 1 species